GCAGUUCCCGGAGAACAUGCGGAGCGUGGCCGGGGCGCUCUACUUCCUGGGGUUCGCGUUGGCGAGCUACUCAAGCGGGCUGAUGGUGAUGGUGGUGCACCGGGCGACGCGCGGGCGGGACGGUCGGCCCGACUGGCUGGCGCAGGACCUCGACGAGGGUAGGGUGGACCUAUUCUACCUGGUCACCGCCGCGAUCGCCGCCGUGAACCUCGUCUACUUUGUGUUCUGCGCACGGUGGUACAGGUUCAAGAAGUCCGACGACGAUGCCGCCCAUGAUGGCGCCGGAGACGUCGAGGUGGACGACGACAGCCCCAAGAAGACCGGCGCCGGCUUGGCUUAGUUACUCUCUCCCUCCUU
rnacentral:lncRNA from 1 species